ACCGCAUGGUUCAAUCAUAAAAGGUGGCUUUUAGCUACCACUUACAGAUGGACCCGCGGCGCAUUAGCUAGUUGGUGAGGUAACGGCUCACCAAGGCGACGAUGCGUAGCCGACCUGAGAGGGUGAUCGGCCACACUGGGACUGAGACACGGCCCAGACUCCUACGGGAGGCAGCAGUAGGGAAUCUUCCGCAAUGGACGAAAGUCUGACGGAGCAACGCCGCGUGAGUGAUGAAGGUUUUCGGAUCGUAAAACUCUGUUGUUAGGGAAGAACAAGUACCGUUCGAAUAGGGCGGUACCUUGACGGUACCUAACCAGAAAGCCACGGCUAACUACGUGCCAGCAGCCGCGGUAAUACGUAGGUGGCAAGCGUUGUCCGGAAUUAUUGGGCGUAAAGCGCGCGCAGGCGGUUUCUUAAGUCUGAUGUGAAAGCCCCCGGCUCAACCGGGGAGGGUCAUUGGAAACUGGGGAACUUGAGUGCAGAAGAGGAGAGUGGAAUUCCACGUGUAGCGGUGAAAUGCGUAGAGAUGUGGAGGAACACCAGUGGCGAAGGCGACUCUCUGGUCUGUAACUGACGCUGAGGCGCGAAAGCGUGGGGAGCGAACAGGAUUAGAUACCCUGGUAGUCCACGCCGUAAACGAUGAGUGCUAAGUGUUAGAGGGUUUCCGCCCUUUAGUGCUGCAGCAAACGCAUUAAGCACUCCGCC
rnacentral:rRNA from 1 species